AUUACCGCAGACAUUGGAAUCUGUACCGGAAACAUCAAAUGCUGGAGUUUGGAAUCGGCAGCAUCCGUGUAGGGAUUUGCCCAACAUUUGAUUUGGGGAGCAAGGCACGUAAAGAUAUUAAAAACCAAAUGUAACAAGGAACAGGGAGGCUAUUCCUGAUAAGGAGGCAAGACUUGAUGACUCCAGAAGUGAAAUCAAUGACAUGGAUGAAAUACUCUGAAGAACCAUCAAUAAUAUCGCAUCGGAAAUUUCACAAGACAGAAAAAUCCGAUAUGAAUUCAACUUUAAGAUUCUUCAUUAGUAGAACUCUGAGGAACCUCACUGCACAAGGAUCAAACUCUGGACUCCCAGAGACAGACACUGUUGUUCAGAAUGAUAGCUAACUUCCACCAUUAAUUAGGUAACAGUUAAGUUGAGUUGUGAGGCUUAACUUGCUAACUUGAGGGGUCUUAUUUUGGUUGCUAAAUGCAAUAAAGUUUAAAUAAUUGA